rnacentral:rRNA from 1 species
GCCACGCCCGCUCAAGAAACUCAAAGGUAAUGACGGGGGCCCGCACAAGCGGAGGAGCAUGUGGUUUAAUUCGAUGAUACGCGAGGAACCUUACCUGGGCUUAAAUGCUUAAUGACGUACUGGGAAACUGGUAUUUCUUCGGACAUUUUGCAAGGUGCUGCAUGGUUGUCGUCAGCUCGUGCCGUGAGGUGUCGGGUUAAGUCCCAUAACGAGCGCAACCCCUAUUGUUAGUUGCCAUCAGGUCAUGCUGGGGACUCUAACAAAACUGCCCGCGUAAGCGUGGAGGAAGGUGGGGAUGACGUCAAAUCAGCACGGCCCUUACGUCCAGGGCUACACACGUGCUACAAUGGCCGGUACAGAGGGCAGCCACUUGGUGACAAGGAGCAAAUCUCAAAAGCCGGUCUCAGUUCGGAUCGGAGUCUGCAACUCGACUCCGUGAAGUUGGAUUCGCUAGUAAUCGUAGAUCAGCAAUGCUACGGUGAAUACGUUCCCGGGCCUU